UACGAAGGGGGCUAGCGUUGCUCGGAUUGACUGGGCGUAAAGGGCGCGUAGGCGGUUCGUACAGUCAGACGUGAAAUUCCUGGGCUCAACCUGGGGGCUGCGUUUGAUACGUGCGGACUUGAGUGCGGAAGAGGGUCGUGGAAUUCCCGGUGUAGUGGUGAAAUGCGUAGAGAUCGGGAGGAACACCCGUGGCGAAGGCGGCCAACUGGGCCGACCCUGACGCUGAGGCGCGAAGGCGUGGGGAGCGAACGGG
rnacentral:rRNA from 1 species